GGAAUAUUGCACAAUGGGGGAAACCCUGAUGCAGCGACGCCGCGUGAGCGAAGAAGUAUUUCGGUAUGUAAAGCUCUAUCAGCAGGGAAGAAAAUGACGGUACCUGAGUAAGAAGCUCCGGCUAAAUACGUGCCAGCAGCCGCGGUAAUACGUAUGGAGCAAGCGUUAUCCGGAUUUACUGGGUGUAAAGGGAGCGCAGGCGGCCAGGCAAGUCUGAUGUGAAAUACCGGGGCUCAACCCCGGAACUGCAUUGGAAACUGUCAGGCUGGAGUGUCGGAGAGGCAGGCGGAAUUCCUGGUGUAGCGGUGAAAUGCGUAGAUAUCAGGAGGAACACCAGUGGCGAAGGCGGCCUGCUGGACGAUGACUGACGCUGAGGCUCGAAAGCGUGGGGAGCAAACA
rnacentral:rRNA from 1 species